UACGUAGGUGGCAAGCGUUGUCCGGAAUUAUUGGGCGUAAAGCGCGCGCAGGUGGUUCCUUAAGUCUGAUGUGAAAGCCCACGGCUCAACCGUGGAGGGUCAUUGGAAACUGGGGAACUUGAGUGCAGGAGAGAAGAGUGGAAUUCCACGUGUAGCGGUGAAAUGCGUAGAGAUGUGGAGGAACACCAGUGGCGAAGGCGACUCUUUGGCCUGUAACUGACCACUGAGGCGCGAAAGCGUGGGGAGC
rnacentral:rRNA from 1 species